rnacentral:rRNA from 1 species
GAUGAACGCUGGCGGCGUGCUUAACACAUGCAAGUCGAACGAACCCUUCGGGGUUAGUGGCGGACGGGUGAGUAACGCGUGAGAAUCUGCCUUCAGGAGGGGGACAACAGUUGGAAACGACUGCUAAUACCCCAUAUGCCCACGGGUGAAACGGUUAAUUCCGCCUGAAGAUGAGCUCGCGUCGGAUUAGCUAGUUGGUGGGGUAAAGGCCUACCAAGGCGACGAUCUGUAGCUGGUCUGAGAGGAUGAUCAGCCACACUGGGACUGAGACACGGCCCAGACUCCUACGGGAGGCAGCAGUGGGGAAUUUUCCGCAAUGGGCGAAAGCCUGACGGAGCAACGCCGCGUGCGGGAUGACGGCCUGUGGGUUGUAAACCGCUUUUCUCAGGGAAGAAGAUCUGACGGUACCUGAGGAAUCAGCAUCGGCUAACUCCGUGCCAGCAGCCGCGGUAAUACGGAGGAUGCAAGCGUUAUCCGGAAUUAUUGGGCGUAAAGCGUCCGCAGGCGGCUUAUCAAGUCUGCUGUUAAAAGUCGGGGCUCAACUCCGAUUCGGCAGUGGAAACUGAUAAGC